GAUGAAGAACGCAGCGAAACGCGAUAUGUAAUGUGAAUUGCAGAAUUCAGUGAAUCAUCGAAUCUUUGAACGCACAUGGCGCCUUCCAGUAUCCUGGGAGGCAUGCCUGUCCGAGCGUCGUUUCAACCCUCGAGCCCCCGUGGCCCGGCGUUGGGGAUCUGCCCAGGCAGUCCCCGAAAACCAGUGGCGGACCCGUUACAGGCCCUUCCCUUGCGUAGUAGCAUUCGCCUCGCAUCGGGAGCCGGCGGGCUUCCAGCCUCUAAACCCCUAUCAAGUCCGCCCCGGCGGCACCAAGGUUGACCUCGGAUCAGGUAGGAAUACCCGCUGAACUUAAGCAUAUCAAUAAGCGGAGGA
rnacentral:misc_RNA from 1 species